rnacentral:misc_RNA from 1 species
GCCAAUUCAAGACACUCGUGUGUCCAGAUCAAUGCAAAGUAAGGAAGCCUGUGCAAAACAAGAAGCAGAAGGGAUGCUUCAUUGACUGCAGCAGCAGAUGUGAAGUCACUUGCAAGUGGAGAAGGCCUAGAUGUGACGGAUAUGGUUCUCUUUGUUAUGAUCCUCGGUUUGUUGGUGGUGAUGGUGUGAUGUUCUACUUCCAUGGAGAA